rnacentral:rRNA from 1 species
GUAGGUGGCAAGCGUUGUCCGGAAUUAUUGGGCGUAAAGCGCGCGCAGGCGGUCCUUUAAGUCUGAUGUGAAAGCCCACGGCUCAACCGUGGAGGGUCAUUGGAAACUGGGGGACUUGAGUACAGAAGAGGAAAGCGGAAUUCCAAGUGCAGCGGUGAAAUGCGUAGAGAUUUGGAGGAACACCAGUGGCGAAGGCGGCUUUCUGGUCUGUAACUGACGCUGAGGCGCGAAAGCGUGGGGUAGCAAACAGGGAUUAGAUACCCUGGUAGUCCACGCCGUAAACGAUGAGUGCUAAGUGUUAGGGGGUUUCCCGCCCCUUAGUGCUGCAGCUAACGCAUUAAGCACUCCGCCUGGGGAGUACGGCCGCAAGGCUG